GACGAAGGAUGCAAGCGUUAUCCGGAUUCAUUGGGUUUAAAGGGAGCGUAGGCGGUCUAAUAAGUCAGUGGUGAAAUCUCUCGGCUUAACUGAGAAAUGGCCAUUGAUACUGUUGGACUUGAGUACAGAUGCCGUUGGCGGAAUAUGACAUGUAGUGGUGAAAUACAUAGAGAUGUCAUAGAACACCGAUUGCGAAGGCAGCUCACAAAGCCGUAACUGACGCUGAGGCUCGAAAGUGCGGGGAUCAAACAGG
rnacentral:misc_RNA from 1 species